UACGUAGGUGGCAAGCGUUGUCCGGAAUUAUUGGGCGUAAAGCGCGCGCAGGCGGCCUCUUAAGUCUGAUGUGAAAGCCCCCGGCUCAACCGGGGAGGGCCAUUGGAAACUGGGAGGCUUGAGUAUAGGAGAGAAGAGUGGAAUUCCACGUGUAGCGGUGAAAUGCGUAGAGAUGUGGAGGAACACCAGUGGCGAAGGCGACUUUCUGGUCUGUAACUGACACUGAGGCGCGAAAGCGUGGGGAGCAACAGG
rnacentral:rRNA from 1 species